GAUGAAGAACGUAGCGAAAUGCGAUAAGUAGUGUGAAUUGCAGAAUUCAGUGAAUCAUCGAAUCUUUGAACGCACAUUGCGCCCCUCGGUAUUCCGUGGGGCAUGCCUGUUCGAGCGUCAUCUACACCCUCAAGCUCUGCUUGGUGUUGGGCGUUUGUCCCGCCUCUGCGCGCGGACUCGCCCCAAAUUCAUUGGCAGCGGUCUUUGCCUCCUCUCGCGCAGCACAAUUGCGUCUGCGAGGGGGCGUGGCCCGCAUCCACGAAGCAACAUUACCGUCUUUGACCUCGGAUCAGGUAGGGAUACCCGCUGAACUUAAGCAUAUCAAUAAGCGGAGGA
rnacentral:misc_RNA from 1 species